UACGUAGGCAGCGAGCGUUGUUCGGAGUUACUGGGCGUAAAGCGUGCGUAGGCGGUGUCUUAAGUUUGUUGUGAAAUUUCCCGGCUUAACCGGGAGGGUGCGGCGAAUACUGAGAUGCUGGAGUGCCGGAGAGGUAAGCGGAAUUCCUGGUCUAGCGGUGAAAUGCGUAGAUAUCAGGAGGAACACCUGCGGUGUAGACGGCUUACUGGACGGUAACUGACGCUGAGGCACGAAAGCGUGGGGAGCAAACAGG
rnacentral:rRNA from 1 species